rnacentral:ncRNA from 1 species
GCAAUCGCGGGAGCUCGGAGCACCGGGCUGAGAGGGCGCUGAAGGACGCUGCGCCGACCGCUGAACCUGUUACCGGGUAAUGCCGGCGUAGGGAGUGGGUCU